rnacentral:lncRNA from 1 species
AGAGAGAGAGAGAGAGAGAGAGAACAUGCAGAGAAGCGACUUAUGCGCCGGAGCAAUAGCAAUGACUAAGUGUUGUCUGAAUUCUUAUUUUUAUUGGUGUCGUAAUUAUUAUCUUAGAUGUUGUCAUAACACGGUUUAUAUCUCUUAUACAAGUAUCGCAAACUACAUAAUCACAUAGGUGGAAUAUGGUUCUUCUUGCAUGUGUUUUGUCUUUUCACGGUUGUAUUGUGUGAGAACAAAAUAUUGUAAAUAAAUUUCCUUUU